rnacentral:rRNA from 1 species
AGAGUUUGAUCCUGGCUCAGGACGAACGCUGGCGGCGUGCCUAACACAUGCAAGUCGAACGGAAACUUGAAUUUCGGUUUAAGUUUUAGUGGCGAACGGGUGAGUAACGCGUGAGAAACCUGCCUCUCAGAGGGGGACAACAGUUGGAAACGACUGCUAAUACCGCAUGAUACUUUCGGACCGCAUGGUCUGAAAGUCAAAGCUUAAUGUGCUGAAAGAUGGUCUCGCGUCUGAUUAGCUAGAUGGCGGGGUAACGGCCCACCAUGGCGACGAUCAGUAGCCGGUCUGAGAGGAUGAACGGCCACAUUGGGACUGAGAUACGGCCCAGACUCCUACGGGAGGCAGCAGUGGGGAAUAUUGGGCAAUGGGGGAAACCCUGACCCAGCAACGCCGCGUGAAGGAAGAAGGCCUUCGGGUUGUAAACUUCUUUUACCAGGGACGAAGAACGUGACGGUACCUGGAGAAAAAGCAACGGCUAACUACGUGCCAGCAGCCGCGGUAAUACGUAGGUUGCAAGCGUUGUCCGGAUUUACUGGGUGUAAAGGGCGUGUAGGCGGACAUGCAAGUUGGGAGUGAAAUCCCGGGGCUCAACCCCGGAACUGCUUUCAAAACUGCAUCCCUUGAAUAUCGGAGAGGGAAGCGGAAUUCCUAGUGUAGCGGUGAAAUGGGUAGAUUUUAGGAGGAACCCCCGUGGGGAAGGCGGCUUUGUGGACUGACACUGACGGUGAGGCUGGAAAGCGUGGGGAGCCAACCGGAUUAGAUUCCCUGGUAGUUCCCGCUGUAAACGAUGAAUACUAAGUGGUGGGAGGGAGUGACCCCUUCCGUGCCGCAGUUAACACAAUAAGUAUUCCACCUGGGGAGUACGACCGCAAGGUUGAAACUCAAAGGAAUUGACGGGGGCCCGCACAAGCAGUGGAUUAUGUGGUUUAAUUUGUCGCAACGCGAAGAACCUUACCAGGAUUUGACAUCCAACUAACGAAGUAGAGAUACAUUAGGUGCCCUUCGGGGAAAGUUGAGACAGGUGGUGCAUGGUUGUCGUCAGCUCGUGUCGUGAGAUGUUGGGUUAAGUCCCGCAACGAGCGCAACCCCUAUUGUUAGUUGCUACGCAAGAGCACUCUAGCGAGACUGCCGUUGACAAAACGGAGGAAGGCGGGGACGACGUCAAAUCAUCAUGCCCUUUAUGUCUUGGGCUACACACGUAAUACAAUGGCCGUCAACAGAGGGAAGCAAUACCGCGAGGGGGAGCAAAUCCCUAAAAACGGUCUCAGUUCGGAUUGCAGGCUGCAACUCGCCCGCAUGAAGCUGGAAUUGCUAGUAAUCGCGGAUCAGCAUGCCGCGGUGAAUACGUUCCCGGGCCUUGCACUCACCGCCCGUCA